GACUUGUUAUCAACGAGAACGGGUGCACAGUAGUUAACCCUCAGAUAAAUGUUCUAUAAAUACGGUUUGCACACAAUCACGACAAUGUUCAAGUAUAUUUGAUCAACAUUUUUAGCGCAGGAUUUCUAAAUUAAGGACAAAACAUUCGGAUGAACUUGAUGUAUUACCUUGUUUUUAAUCGUCUCGUCAAUGUUUGUUUUGCGAUUGUGCUCAUAUUUUGGGAUAUUUGUCUACCCGUAUUUAGACUGAAAGUGGAGUCAUCAAAGUCAUCUUCUGCUGGUUCAACUUUGGAUCUAGUAUUUUGGAAAUGCUGAUAUUUUUCAUUUAUCAUAGAUAAGAUUAAAUUGGAUAACAAUGUUGAUAUAUAAAUCUGAUCCGACCUACAUCGAUUCGGAGUUUCGAGUUGACGAUCGAGCCCGGCUAGAAGUCGGAGAAAUCCCCACCGUCCCUGACGCCGUCUGCCUCCACUGCCGGAAAAGCAAGAGAAAAUUCCGAAAAGUUUUUUCCUACCUGCGCUCCCACCUGAAGUGGAAGAGGGGAAAGCAGACAUCUUCUUCGAUGCCGAUGUCGACGACGACGGCGACGGAUAUGGGCGAUAAGAAAGUGGUCCUGUUCGAUCUCGGGGGUGUGAUCGUUACCCCACCCCAAAGGGCGCUCUUGAAGUACUGCGAGGAAGCUGGACUGCCCAGGAAUUUCAUCUUUAACGUGAUAUCGCAAGGUCGGGCAAACAACACAUUCGGUCGCCUUGAAACGGGGGAACUAACAGUUACUCAGUUUGCGACCGAAUUCGAGCAGGAAUGUAGGCGGGUAGCCGAGGAGCAGGGUUUGGUGAUACCGGAUAGGUUCAGUGCAACCGAGAUGAUCCAUUUCAAAGAUCCGGAUCUUAUUCCGGAGAUGCUCAACGCUGUAGCCGUACUAAAAGAACACGGUGUUAAGACAUGUGCCCUCACAAACAACUACAUUGACAACACCUCAAACCGAGCCUAUGCAGCAGGCGGAUUAACCGCGUUUACCCUCUACUUUGACGAAUUUGUGGAAUCGUGUCGGUUAGGUGUCCGAAAACCGGACCCGAGCAUAUUUCAGGAGGCUCUGUCGAGACUUGGCGCCGAAGCAAACCAGGCUGUUUUCUUGGACGAUUCUGAAGUAAACACUAAGGCAGCCGAAGCUCUGGGGAUGUCCACCAUCUUGGUCGAUGAAUCGAAAAGUGCUCUAGAACAGCUCAAAAUCAUGACUGGAAUUGAUGUCUUCAAGCAAGCCGGACCUAUCACCGUUGAUUCCGAAGAGGUCACACACAGUUACGUCACAACCAGGAGUAAAGUUCGGUUUCAUUUCGCUGAGCUUGGAAACGGGCCUCCUGUGCUUCUGUGCCACGACUUUGAAGAAGACUGGGAGGCAUGGAGAAGUCAGAUGCCAGAACUCGCCAUAGCAGGAUUUCGAGCCAUUGCCUUGGAUUUGAAAGGAUUUGGAGAAAGCAGCAAGCCAUCGGAUGUAGAGCAGUACACAUUGAAAAUCUUAUGUCGGGAUAUAUCCGAGUUCUUGGAUGCGCUGGGAAUCGCCCAGGUCACCCUCAUCGGUCAAGGCAUGGGGGCGGCAUUCGCUUGGACAUUCGCAAACCACAACACAGACAGAGUUCGAGCCGUUGCUGGAAUCAACACAUCUCCCUCUAUCGUCCUUCCCGAAACAUUGUGCGGUGGCCAAAUCAAGAGAAUGGGGUCUCUUCGUGAUUUCAUCAGAUUUCGCCAAUCAGUAAAAGACAACAAUAACAACAAUCAAGAUGUGGAGAUGGAACAAUUCUACAGAAUAGCCACCUACCAUUCUAGCGAUGAUACUAAUCCGACCAACUUAAAGAGAGGGCAUUGCCAUCUGGGUAUUGAAAUUACAGAUCUAGACCUGUCAACGAGGACAUCGAUGUCAAUGAAUUGUCUCUGUUUCGAAGCAGAAAAACGAGCCAAGAAAUUUUGCAGUUAUCACCAGAGCAUUAAAGCAAAAUCUCAACCAAAGGGAGCUAAUUGGUUCAGGAACAACACGGCCAAUUGGGAAUGGAACCGGCGACUUUACGGCCGAAUGCUCAUCGUUCCAUCUUUGGUCGUGACAUCAGGUCAAGGGUCACCAAAGAAUAUCCCGGAUGUCAGUGAACUACAGAAAUGGGUCCCCGACAUUGAACAUAGCCAUAUUUCAGGCUGCGAGAUCAAAACAGCCCCAGAACGAUCCUCAGAACUUAACCGAAUUCUUCGUAAAUGGCUCUUUACGAAUCACGCAGGCGAACAUACACCCCUAAUGCCAAUGUCCGUUGAUUGACAUACCCGACAGUAACCACAAGAUGGCGUCCUUCAAAUGAAAGAGAACAAACUAUUGACCAAUUUGGUGUAUUUGGAUUGAAAGAAAUUACGAGAGACCUACCUCAUAUUGAUGGAUAGUUGAUUGGGAGGAAAAAUCAGAUUCAGUCGUUGCUUCAAGAUGGCGCCCUACUCAAAGUGGAGAACAAAGUAUUGACCAAUCGGGCAUGGAAUGUUACUAUGCAGAGUUUCCCGAUCCACCUGAGAAUGUCUUUGGAUUGGAGGAAAUAACAAGAGAGCGAAGUCAUGUCGAAGGUUAAUUCAUUCUUAGGGAAACGAUCAGAUUUAAUUGUCGUCAUAAGAUGGCGCCCUAAUCAUCAAUAAGAACAAACCAUUGAUCACUUUGGCAUGGAAUAUCAAAUACCGUAGACAUGGUUUUCAAAUCCUUUAGAGUAAAUCUUUGGAUUUAAAGUAAAUUUGAAAGAGCUUGGUCAUCUUGGAUAAUAAUAUAUUUUGAGGAAACGAUCAGGCUCAGUCGUUGCUAAAAGAUAGCGCCCUAUUAAAUUGACCAAGGAGAACAUACUAUUGACCAUAGAUAUGGGUUAAAUACAUCUGUGCUAUUGGCCAUUUGGCAUGGAAUAUCAACAUGAUCAAAAUGCCACAGACAUGGUUUCCUGAUCCGUGAAUAUCUUUUGAUUGAAAGAAAUUACGAGAGAGCUCCGCCAUCUCGAAAGCUGAUGAUUUGGUGGAAAAAGAUCAACGAUCUCGAAUCUGAAUAGGCUUACAUCAAACCAGAAAUGAAACCAACCGGAAAUGGAACAAAUCGGAAGUGGAUCAAACCGGAAGCGGAUCAAAUCGUGUCAAUAGACGCGAAUUUAACACAAAAUUGUGAAGGAAAUUGUGUCUCAAUAAUUUUUCCUGAGUAUAUAAAUCUCUACUCAAUCUGAUGAUAGUAUAUAUUGUAUAACGAAGUGUCAUAAUGUUAGAAAGGGAGAGAAGGGGUAUAUUCCUCUCUCUCUAUCUCUCUCUCUCUCUCCUUCACAUAAUGAUCGUCUUGUAGGUUCAGAACAUGGUACACGUUUAUGUUAGGGGAGCCUUUGUAAAGAAAAUGUGUAAAAGUAGUGAAUCCGACAUGUCCGGGAAAUGCAGAAAAACCUAUGACAUCGGACAUUGUCUGUUAAAACUAAAAUGGGAAGUGUAAAUUGUGAAAUAUAACACUUUUGUCAAAUAAACAUGUCGUUGUAAAUUAUUCCGAUAUGAAUAUUCUGAAUUGCAAAAUUUGAUUUGUUUUUUUUAGGCAUAGUAUAUUAAUAAUAAUUUUUUGAAGGAGAUGCCCUUUGGAAUAAUUGGGUUAUCUUACAGAGUGAGAUUUCAAAGAAGAAAGAAGCUUGAUAAUCACUCAUGACGAUUUUGGCUUAUUGAGAUGGUUAGCAACCAUUAAUUGUGAUUAAUAUUAACUUAAUGCAAUCUGUAUAUGUCUGUAUAAUAAUGUAUAAUUAUCAGUACAUAAUAAUGAUGUAUGAAUUAUGUAUAUGUAUAUUCUCAGGAAAAUGUGAUAAAAUGUUCAUAAAUUUGUGUGAUAUAAUAAAAUAAAAUCUAUCCGUCUAACAACACUAUAGUUUUAUGUAUAUACAUAUUUUUUUUUACUUUAGACGUCGACGCAUAAAUCCUAUCGCCUUAGGCCAAUUUGGCCUCAGAGGCUUAACAAAAAUAACCAAGACAAUAUGAUCCUGAUUUUUGCACCAAUCAACAUUCAGAGUAAAAGUGGAAUUCAUACACACGUACGUUUCUUCUUUGGUUUAAACGACCUGUUGAGAACCACACACGAGAUAUUGAUAUUUUGUCUCUUUUCUAAUGGCAUAUCGCCCUCUACUGUUGGUUGGUCCCAAAGCAUUUACUGAUAGAGAAAAUUGCACUUACCUAUGAAACAAAUUCGUUUCUGACAGAAUUUUCAAGCUUAAUCCACCCUCAAAUUUCAAAAGUUGGUUUUGGCUAAACAGAUCAUAAAAUUAAGUAACUGCCCCUUUAUUCGAUGCUAAUCUUUUCAAUCAUGUUUCUCUUUGUUAUUUUAAAAAUGUACAUAUUUCUACUAUACAGUAUUAUAAUAUAUACAUCAUGUAAAUCUACUUUUAACCAGGAAUAUUAUGAUUAUUCCAUAAAUUUCUGUCGAUUCAGAGAAAAUUUUUGUUUCAUGUAAAUGUUUUCAUUAUAACCAUGAUAACGCUCUAUCCAAGCUAGUCUCGGAGCAGUAUUUGAUAUUGCAAUUGUUUGUAUAUUUUGUGUAACACAAUACAUAAUAACAAAUUUAUUCGGAAUUUACAUGCGUUUUACAUGCAAACCUAUUUUCUUAUAAACUUUCAAUGCGAGUUGAAUUAAUAGAUUCAAUAUAUAUGUUUACAAAUCAAACACGCACAUCCCCUUUUUUUUUGGGGGGGGGGGUUGGGGCCGGCGUUUGUUGAUUAAAGUAGAACCGAAUCCAAUGAAAACAAAUCUGUUCUGUUUCGAUAGAAGGCGCUACAUGAGAUCAUUUACUCAUCACUCAUCUGCAAAUCUAAAAGAUUAUAUUUCUAUUUUGUUCAGGGAAAAAGGUCAUCUUUCGCAAAGUCGGUUUUCUUUGUCGAUCGAUAUAAUAAUAAUAUUUCAUUUACCCAGGGUAGCCACUUCAAUCAUAAGACUGCUCUUCCAGCUGGUCCUGCAUAACAUAACAUGUUAUUAUUACCCUUCUCCAGUCUAAAUGCUGAGCUCGAGGCAAGAAGGCAGAAUGUCCCAUGUUUAUAAGUCUUUGGUAUGACUCGGCCGGGAAUCGAACCCACCGUGACGACCUCCCGUUCAUGAGGCGGACGCUCUACCACUAAGCCAUAUGUAUAUUUUCUCUGCUCCCACAUUGUUAUGUGAGAGAAGUUUGGUAAUCAUGUUUAAUAAUUCUGAAAAUUUGUUUGUAAUCUCAUUGAUACGAUUAUAUUUCUAUGUUUCAUAUACAUGUACAAAACUUUGAUUUAGAUGAAUUGUGAUUGUAAACUUAUCGAUUUGAGAGAGUCAAAAAAUAAAAUAUUAUUUAAAACAGAAAAAUCUUUUUUCUUGCGAAGUCACUAGCUACUUUUUUUCGCACGAUAAAGCUUGUUAUUUUUAUACUUAACAGUUGUUUUUUCCAUUUUAGACAAAUUUCUCCUUUAUCUUGCUUAUUUUAGGUUAACCGUUUGUGGAAAAUCAGUAUUACCGCAGAAAAUGUUUGGUUAGAUCAAUAUUUUAAGAAUUGUUUGGUUGCUGUGAAGUGUGAUAAGUACAUUAUAAAUUUGUGAUUUCGAUUAAAGUAUUGUUCAGUGAUUUAUGGAUUUAAAUACUUUGUACAUCGACUAAAAUGAUGAAUUUUGAAUUGAAUAAAAAUGAAAAUAGCAGUA
rnacentral:misc_RNA from 1 species